UUGCUGCUCGGUAGCGUGUUAUUGGGUGCUAUUGACGACAGCCUCGAUAAGUACUUCAGACUCCCUGACACCAUGUUUGCUAUGUAUGAUACAGAGUGUCGCAACAAGUCAACAUUUGUUCAAUAGGUAUACAUACAUACAUACAUGUUCAGAUACAUAUUUGUUUAUCAAUAUUUUUUCCAUAUGUAACGCAUUGACAUGGCAACACAUAUAAUUAUUGUACGGCAAAAUUUUUGACAAAAUUUGUGCAUGAAGAUUUUAUUUAUCUUGUUUAAGACUUUAAUUGGGGGCGACAAACAAUUUGUGAGAUAUGUUUGGCUGAAGACUGUAUCUAUAUUUGUAGAGUCUGGGCAAAAGUUGUUAAAGGUGAAGUCAGGGUAAUAUUUUGGUACAAAUUGCGGAGAAACAUCAACCUGAACAAUUUUGAGAUUACAAAAAUUUUAGUUACAAAAGUGUUUAUGUGUCACUGAAUCAUCAAGCAAGUGGAUCGCUGUGGAAAGUUUAUUAAAAUAAAAAUGAUAAAUAAACUUCGGAACAAACAAUUGAGGAAAGAAACUUAACGUUCACACAAACAAACAAAUGGUUCAUUAACUUCUAUUGCAAUAAACAAUAGAAAAAUCGUCGAAUGUGCUGAAAAGCAAAAACAAAACAAAAACAAUUAAAGCAUUGCCGUUUAAAUACGGAAUAUUCCAUUAAUGAAGGGAAUUACCAGAAAUAUGAGAACUGAUGACAUAAGCAAUAAAAGAAAUCAAGAAAUGUAAAUGCAUGAAAGUAAAUUUGCCGAUUAUAAGUCGA